GACGAACGCUGGCGGCGCGCUUAACACAUGCAAGUCGAGCGAUGAAAUUUCGACAGAUCCCUUCGGGGCGAAGAUGAAAUGGAUUAGCGGCGGACGGGUGAGUAACACGUGAGUAACCUGCCUUAGACAUUGGGAUAGCCUCGGGAAACCGGGAUUAAUACCAAAUGAAAUCACAUAUGCACAUGCAUAAAUGAUCAAAGCUCCGGCGGUCUAAGAUGGACUCGCGUCCCAUUAGCUAGUUGGUGAGGUAACGGCCCACCAAGGCGACGAUGGGUAGCCGGCCUGAGAGGGUGAACGGCCACAUUGGAACUGAGAAACGGUCCAAACUCCUACGGGAGGCAGCAGUGGGGAAUAUUGCACAAUGGAGGGAACUCUGAUGCAGCGACGCCGCGUGAACGAAGAAGGCUUUCGAGUCGUAAAGUUCUUUUAUAUGGGAAGAUAAUGACGGUACCAUAAGAAAAAGCCCCGGCUAACUACGUGCCAGCAGCCGCGGUAAUACGUAGGGGGCUAGCGUUGUCCGGAAUCACUGGGCGUAAAGGGUUCGCAGGCGGAAAUGCAAGUCAGGUGUAAAAGGCAGUAGCUUAACUACUGUAAGCAUUUGAAACUGCAUAUCUUGAGAAGAGUAGAGGUAAGUGGAAUUUUUAGUGUAGCGGUGAAAUGCGUAGAUAUUAAAAAGAAUACCGGUGGCGAAGGCGACUUACUGGGCUCAUUCUGACGCUGAGGAACGAAAGCGUGGGUAGCAAACAGG
rnacentral:rRNA from 1 species